AUUGAACGCUGGCGGCAUGCCUUACACAUGCAAGUCGAACGGUAACAGGUCUUCGGAUGCUGACGAGUGGCGAACGGGUGAGUAAUACAUCGGAACGUGCCCGCGAGUGGGGGAUAACGAAGCGAAAGCUUUGCUAAUACCGCAUACGAUCACAGGAUGAAAGCAGGGGACCGCAGGGCCUUGCGCUCACGGAGCGGACGAUGGCAGAUUAGGUAGGUGGUGGGAUAAAAGCUUACCAAGCCGACGAUCUGUAGCUGGUCUGAGAGGACGACCAGCCACACUGGGACUGAGACACGGCCCAGACUCCUACGGGAGGCAGCAGUGGGGAAUUUUGGACAAUGGGCGCAAGCCUGAUCCAGCCAUGCCGCGUGCAGGAUGAAGGCCUUCGGGUUGUAAACUGCUUUUGUACGGAACGAAAAGACUCUGGUUAAUACCUGGGGUCCAUGACGGUACCGUAAGAAUAAGCACCGGCUAACUACGUGCCAGCCGCCGCAGUAAAAC
rnacentral:rRNA from 1 species